GCCACCUGCAGCGCCCGCAGCGGGCGGGACGCGCGCGGCCCUGUCGGGGGGCUAACGCGGGGGGAUUCUUGCAGGUAGGAGUCGAGAGCAUUUCCUAGCGCCCAAGCCAUGGUGGCCAAACAGCGGAUCCGGAUGGCCAACGAGAAGCACAGCAAAAACAUCACCCAGAGGGGGAACGUAGCCAAAACCCUGAGGCCACAAGAAGAGAAAUACCCCGUGGGACCAUGGCUGUUGGCACUGUUUGUUUUUGUUGUCUGUGGCUCAGAGGUUCCAGGUGCACGGCCAUCCUAGGUCUGCUCCCAAAUGGAUAAAACCUUGACCCAGCCACGGGCUGCUUGCUGACUAGGCCACCGUCACCCGAUCACCUUACUCUUUUCUGGACCUUGCUCCAGGACAGACUUGAAUUCACCAUGUCUUCAGGUCGACCAGUAAACACCGGCCUUUCCUGGAGACCUCCAGAACGAUCUCAAAGCUAUGACACCCAAAAUGGUUGUCACACCCUCUGAGGCUGACUGGCCAGCAGAAGGCUUGAGGGACUGAGCAGGCCUGGAGGAGCCCUUCUGUUUCACCACUGGAGAAGGACUGAGGACAUUCCUCUGCUCAGGAACUCCUGCCUCGGGACCUGAGAUGGACACUCUGGAAAAGAUGUCUCAUCUGCUUCUCACCACGAGCUAUCUUUCAGAUCAUUCAGAGCAUAAGGAUGGGCAUGUGAGGAGGCCCGGGGCUUUGACACUGCCCCUCUCUCUGGAGGGCGGAGGACCACUUAAGCUUUUAGCCGGGUAUCUGUGGGAAGCAAACAAGACACACAGAAUAGAAAAAAAGUCUCCCUCAGUUGUUCCCUGAUCACUUCAUCGUGGAUGUCAGACCAAAUUGCCUUCUCACAGGACAUCUUGGUACAUCCGUGUUCUGGAGCGGAAAGGACAUUUUGCUUUUCUGUUGGCGAGAUUGGUAGCUCCCAGGUGUCCACAGCAGCACACUGUUUUCUGGUUUGGCCCUUGGUUUCACUGAUGUAUGCAUGUGGUCUCUGAAUGAUCACCAGUUUACUUUCUGUGGAUACAACCCCUCCUCCAUUGGGAAUUGGUUUUGCAAAUAAAUGUCUUUGUUCAACCUUA